ACGCACACAUAUACAGAAAAAUGCUCCAAGACCUCUGUGUUUGCUUGUGGAUGUACAUGUCAUACCGUCUACUCAGGAGUAGCGUCUCUGAGGGGGGGAAACAAAAUAUUCAAGUCCGGUGCCUGCCGUUUCCUCGGGAUUUGCCUGCUCCCGUCUUUGAAGUGACUGAGUCAUCGCCAUGGCUGCCUGCCUUCACCACAGAACCACGUCUCUUCAUCUAAGGUGGCUAUUCACCUCUUCAUAUGAAGGGAGAAGAUGAGACCGGGGAGUCUGCAAUCGUAUCAUGGUUUCCUUCAACUGUGAAGUGAAUCACUCCUAAGAUUCAAGCAUGUACACUGAAGGACUCAACAAUUCCACAACUCCACAACUCAAGACAAGGAUCAAGAGGAAUGGAAGUCUGCAGAAUGUCAAACUCUAUCUGAUUGUCUGUGUCUAAAAGCGUGUUGUUGCCAGAUGUCGUUGAUCCUGU